AGAAGCGACCACCCAACGAAAAAGGAAGCGUGCAGGUACUGAGACUACUGACAGCUACAUCAAGUAUCUUCAAUAGAAGCUGGAUCUUGAACAACAGAAAUUUCAGUUGGAAAAAAGGGAGAGAGAAUUAAGGCUGGAAAGAGAAAACGAAAUGUUUAAGAUGAUGAUGGCAUUGGUUAAGGGAAAGAAUAAGGAGAGCUAAACAGUUUGCUCAGUGAGAUGCAAGUCUUGUAAAUAAAAGAGACAAGGUUUACAUGUAAUUUUGGUCAUUUCAGAUUUGUCACAGCUGAAUCAGAGUAACCAUUUUUUAUAGUCUUUUCCAUGGCAGGACCAUGAUUGCUGUUGGCCAUUGUAGUUUUGUAUUAACUUAGUUCACCUUUGUGUUAGCCCUAGCCCAGCUUUGGAAUGCAGGGGCGUGCAUGAGUGCACCUUUGGCACUCGCUGAAUGUGGGUGUGAAUGUAUAUAAGAAUUUAUUAAACAGGGUGUGGUCUGAGAUUUGCUACAUGUUGCGGUAGAGGGAACACGGUGUUCUGAUUUAUGCUGACUUAGCCAUUUUGGUUAGCUUGUGCCGUCCCUUGGCUAUUGGCACAGAUGAUUGAGGCUCUGUGAAGUCUUCGGGGUGGCUCAGACAAGCAUAUGUCGGCGGAAUAACGGCAGUCAUCGUCCUUGUAUGAAGUACAUGGAUCAGCGGAUCCCUAAUGCCAGUUAAUCUGUGAAGCUUGGAGAGAGUCUUUAGCUACUGGGAACUCCAUUGGUAGAGUGAAGCCUCGCUGUUCCCGAACCUGUGUAGAUGAAACUACAGGCGGCUCUCCACAGCGUCGUCCUGCUCUUGAGAUCCAACUAGCCUUGGCGAUCUGGACGAUGGGUGUGGAACUACCGUAACUGUGAUGAGCACCACUGCAAAUCUCCCCUACAUAAAUAGUUUCUUAUUGUUGUAUAACAUUCUGAUAAUUUUUUUGAUUCCCUUUCGUUUGGCCUUAUCUUGUGAAUAGGAUUGAAAGUUCAAGAUAUUGGAUUUAUUUGGUUUGUUGCACCUCUUUAAAAGUCACACGUCGUGGGAAAUUUACUGAUUUUUGCUGUUUAAGUGCCACCCUUGUGGUAAACUACUUGUGGUAUUGUGAUAUUUUGGUCAUAAACGUGUAAAUUGUUUGACUUGUCUAGAUAUUAAAAGGAAUUGCAGUUUGAAGUAACUCUGGCAAAUUUACUAUAUAUCCUCCACAGUGCGGAUGGAUUGUGUGGUUAGACGUUUUAACAUUGAGCGUGGAGAAUUGACCGGCAAAUCAAGGAUUCUAGAACUGUUUUAUAUGAAGAAAGGUGUGCAAGAAACUGACAGUUUUAUAACGUGAAUUGAAUAGAUGAUUGAACAUUGCAAAUAUUGAGUAAUUCGUAUAAAGGAAUUUGACCGUGUAAAAUAAGAAUUUGUCAGGAAAUUUAAUUGUAAGAUAAAUCUUGUAUGAUUGAUGAAUUUUGCCGUUUUAUGGUCAUGGGACAAGUUCUGCAUUGAGGGACAUUUUCACUAUUAGAUAUUACCCCUGCAAUUUCAUGUUGUGCAUAAUUAUUGUUUUGAAUAAAUUUAGAUGUAUAUGUUAACUAUAUACCUGUACAUUGAGAAUUGACAUCCUUGGGAAAUCUAACAUCAAAGUCUUGACUUAAUAAAUGUAGUUGGCCACACACAGUAUUUAAACUUACCAAAUGACAAUCCUGUUGCAAUUUAAGACACAACACUUAAUCUGAAGAAUCCCUUGGUUCAAACAUUGGAUUGAAGUUUAACAUUCGGUCUCAAAUCAAGCUAGCCUAUUCAUAAAGCCAUUCAAAUUAACUCCCACAACAAGCAUUUCUUUGUCACUAAUCAUCCAGUCACUUGUGACUAGACUUGUUAAAAGAUCAACUUUGUGAAUUAAACUGAUAAAUCAACAGUUUCUUGAA